rnacentral:rRNA from 1 species
UACGGAGGAUGCGAGCGUUAUCCGGAUUUAUUGGGUUUAAAGGGUGCGUAGGCGGAGUGCCAAGUCAGCGGUAAAAAUUCGGGGCUCAACCCCGUCGUGCCGUUGAAACUGGCGCCCUUGAGUGGGCGAGAAGUAUGCGGAAUGCGUGGUGUAGCGGUGCAAUGCAUAGAUAUCACGCAGAACCCCGAUUGCGAAGGCAGCAUACCGGCGCCCGACUGACGCUGAAGCACGAAAGCGUGGGUAUCGAACAGG